rnacentral:ncRNA from 1 species
UAAAUAUAAAGGUUUUAUAUGCAUAUUUUUUAAAUGUAAGAUUUUCUUGAGUUUUUAUUUGUUAAAUAAUUUUAAUUUUUAGUUGCAGUGGAUAAACUUAUUUUUUUUUAGUAAAUUAAGAUGUAGUUAUAGGGUUUAGUAUAGGCUAAUUUUGUGCCAGCAGUUGCGGUUAUACAAAUUAUGCUAUAAAAGUUUUUUAAAAUUUAGUUUUUAGGUGUGUAUGGAUUAUGGAUUAAUAUUUAUUUUUAUUGAGUGAAAUUUUAAUUUUAUUUUAUUCUGAAAUUUAAGAGGCUGACAAAUUUUUUAUGAGACUAGGAUUAGAUACCCUAUUAUUUGAGUUAAAAUUUAAAAUUUUUAUUAUUAUUAGUUAUGUUCUUUAAAGUAAAUAAAAUUGGCGGUGGUUUAUUCUAUUUAGAGGAAUCUGUUUCGUUAAUGAUAGUCCACGAUUAUUUUAUCUUUUUUUUUUAGUUCGCAUAUCGCCGUGGUUGAGCAUCUUUUUAAGGUUUAAUGUUCAUGAUUUUAAUUUAAAAUUAUAACAGGUCAAGAUGUGGUUUAUGUAAAAGUGAUAAUGGAUUACUUUUGUUUUAAUAUUGGAGCAAUUAUUUUAAAGGUUUUGUGAUAUUGGAUUUGAAUGUAAUUUUUACAUAAUUUAAAUUUGAUUUUAGUGCUAAACUAUGCACAUAUUGCCCGUCGCUUUCAUUUAAGGUGAAAUAAGUCGUAACAAAGUAGGUGUACUGGAAGGUGUACCUAGAAAGUG